CUUUGGAAUGUUUGGCUCUAGAGGAGAUAAGAGAUAGAGCAAGAGGCUGGGGCGCGGUGGCUCUCUUAUAAUUCUAAUUACUUGGCAGACUGAGGUGGGAGGAUUGCUCCAGCCCAAGACUUCAAGGCCAGCCUGGGCAACAUAGCAAGACUCCCAUCUCCGAAAGUAAAUUAAUUAAAAAGAAUAAAAAAUAAAAAAAUAAGGCAAAAGCUGGAAGGCAGCAAUGCAAGGUUUGUGUUUUUCAAAUGAGGUUUUAACUGUUUAAAUGCUGAUGGGGGGCCGGACACGGUGGCUUACGCCUGUAAUCCCAGCAAUUUGGGAGGCUGAGAUGGGUGGAUCACUUGAGGUCAGGAGUUCAAGACUAGUCUGGCCAACAUGGUGAAACCUUCUCUACUAAAAAUACAAAAAUUAGCCGGGUGCAGUGGUGGGCACCUGUAAUCCCAGCUACUUGGGAGGCUGAGACAGAAGAAUCACUUGAACCCAGGAAGUGGAGGUUGCUGUGAGCUGAGAUCACACCACUGUACUCCAGCCUGGACGACAGAGUGACUCUGUCUCAAAAAAAUUGCUGUUGAGAAGGAGGGAGUUGGGAGACAAGAGGUGAACAGUGUGGAGAGUAAUGGAGUGAGCCUCCCGAGAAUGUGGUGGGGAUGGAAUCUAAGUUGGCAGGGGGAUUAGCUAGGAGAGGAGGGGGAUACCACAAUCCCUUUCUGGUUGUAACUGGAAGGAAUGAGGUAAGGACAAGGCCUGUGGCAGGUCAGUCCACUUGUUUAUGACCGGAGUUCAGAAAGUUCUCCUAUGUGAUUCCCAGUGUCUCUGUGAAUAAGAGAAAGCCUCAGAUACUAAAUUAGGAGGGGUCUGGUGGGAUCUAAGAUUGGCAGAGCAUGCAAGAAGUUUGAAAAAGCUUGGGGGUGAACAGGAGCAAUAUAGAACUGUUCAGAAAACAGAAGGAUUACUGGGAUAUAUGACCUCGUUUUUACCGUGGCACCAAUACGAGCAACUUUGUUAUUUUUUUUCUCCAGUUGCCCUUGGUGAUCAAGAUUUAGACACAGGGCGGCUGGGCGCAGUGGCUCACACCUGCAAUCCCAGCACUUUGGGAGGAUGAGAUGGGUGGAUCACCUGAGGUCAGGAGUUGAAGACCAGCCUGGCCAACAUGAUGAAACCCCGUCUCUACUAAAAAUACAAAAAUUAGGCAGGCAUGAUGGCAGCUAAUCCCAGCUACUCAGGAGGCUGAGGCAUGAGAAUCGCUUGAACCUGGGAGGUGGAGGUUGCAGUGAGCCGAGAUCGUGCCACCUCACUCCAGCCUAGGUGACAGACCGAGACUCCGUCUCAGAAAAAAAAAAAAAAAAAAAAAA
rnacentral:lncRNA from 1 species